UGCAAGUCGAGCGAACAGAAGGGAGCUUGCUCCCGGAUGUUAGCGGCGGACGGGUGAGUAACACGUGGGUAACCUGCCUGUAAGACUGGGAUAACUCCGGGAAACCGGAGCUAAUACCGGAUAGUUCCUUGAACCGCAUGGUUCAAGGAUGAAAGACGGUUUCGGCUGUCACUUACAGAUGGACCCGCGGCGCAUUAGCUAGUUGGUGGGGUAAUGGCUCACCAAGGCGACGAUGCGUAGCCGACCUGAGAGGGUGAUCGGCCACACUGGGACUGAGACACGGCCCAGACUCCUACGGGAGGCAGCAGUAGGGAAUCUUCCGCAAUGGACGAAAGUCUGACGGAGCAACGCCGCGUGAGUGAUGAAGGUUUUCGGAUCGUAAAGCUCUGUUGUUAGGGAAGAACAAGUGCGAGAGUAACUGCUCGCACCUUGACGGUACCUAACCAGAAAGCCACGGCUAACUACGUGCCAGCAGCCGCGGUAAUACGUAGGUGGCAAGCGUUGUCCGGAAUUAUUGGGCGUAAAGGGCUCGCAGGCGGUUUCUUAAGUCUGAUGUGAAAGCCCCCGGCUCAACCGGGGAGGGUCAUUGGAAACUGGGAAACUUGAGUGCAGAAGAGGAGAGUGGAAUUCCACGUGUAGCGGUGAAAUGCGUAGAGAUGUGGAGGAACACCAGUGGCGAAGGCGACUCUCUGGUCUGUAACUGACGCUGAGGAGCGAAAGCGUGGGGAGCGAACAGGAUUAGAUACCCUGGUAGUCCACGCCGUAA
rnacentral:rRNA from 1 species